AUGAAGGUUGUAGAAUUUGCACCGCACCAAAGGUUGACUUCACGAAGCAGGACUCAGAAGGGACGACGGCAAGGAGGGAGGGUUUAGGGGGGAGUUGAGGCUUGGUUGGCUGGGACAUCGGCGCCGCCGGCCUCUGGCUUGUUGACGGCGGAAUGACCGCUGGCCGAGGUAAUUUUACCAAAGGCUAGUUUGCCCGCCGUCGGGACGCUCGCCUGCUGGCUCCCCCCUCUAGGCUCCUUCGCCGCCCCUCCUAGCUACCGCUUCCCCUGCUGCCUCUACCUCCAGCCCAGGCUGCCGCAGCGGCAGUAGAUGUAGCGGUUGGGCGGGCACUUGCGGGAGAGGUAGCUGCAGGACAAAUCGAACUUUCCCGUGAUACUUCUCCACGAAGCUUCCUUACUACACUUUCGAUAACAAGAAUGUCCUUCACCUUCCAGUAAAAGACGACCUGAGCUAUAAUCACGGAAGCGACUAUAAGCGUUUGGCCUCGUCGAUUUCCUAGUGACGUAUAACUAACUUCGGUACUGACUAUAGAAGCUUCUACGACCCUUCGGUAGUCACCGACGAUAACUACCGGGACGAGAACCACCUCCAAAUCUUUAAAGGUACCAUACGGUUCGUGCGUAAAGUUGAGGAUUACGAGUUAAUCCGGAGUGCCUCGAAGUCAAACCUCAUUAUGGACCUAAACCUCCUUGUGUCGCGGAAGGGGCGGAACAACCUGACUGUUUUCGUGAACUUUACUACUACGAGAGCUUCGGUUAAUUUCGGCUUCUUCGGGUACUCGACCCAGACCAGCUGCGACAACAAAGUGGAUUGCUAAACAACUUAUUACGGGCGGCAACCCGAAACCUGUAGAUACUCAGCUUUUCCGGUACCCGGGCUCGGGAGAUGUUUUGACUGUUCGAACUUAGGGGACUAGACCGGUCUCUCUAGGAGUUAAGACGGUCUCAAGUCAGAGCCUUCACCCGACGGUUAGAAGUCAUAGGUAAGCAGACAUAGCUACGACAGCUUCUUCCAUAUCAAAGUCCCGGUGUUCGGCCCGAAGCCUUCCAUACUAAACGAAAUGACAAAUCAUGAGAGAGGCAGGGUUUUAUUCACAGAGUCGAGAUCAUGUUGAAACAUGAUUUCAAUCAUGUUUCAACUCUGUGAAUAAAACCCUGCCUCCCUUAUAAACCGAACUGUUCUUUUGAUAUAAAUUCUAAAGUGCACUCAACACACGUUGUGUUUACGUCCUUCGGUACCGAAAAGUCCUUGAGAAAAAGAGUCUAUGUACAUUUUCGAACUAAGUACACAAGAAAAGUGUUGCACGUUGUAGUUUCCAUCUCUUGUUCCUUUUUUGUGACACGGACAAGGUCUAUUUUACAGUACGAAAACUCAACGUAACAAACUUCGGUACUCUCAUACUCUAUACGUACAACACCCGUCUUAACAUGGGUGAAUGGACAUCGAUAUAAUAUUACAUCUUACGGUCGGAAUAUAGUUAACGUCGUCCAAGGACCCUAGUGUCUGAAUCCAAACUACGGUUCCUUCCAUAGAUUGCAACGGUAACAACCACCACCUGAAUACCCAAGACCUUAGCGUUGGCGCGACUAUGACUCGGUAAUAGGACAAUAUGACUUUCUUCAGUUGCUCCUUAAGGAUUUGCGUCCUUAACUGUCCUAGUUUCUUUUGAACGUCUCAGCACAUUCCUUUCCUUUUUACUGUUUCCUCUUUAUACUGUUCUGGGAGAGUGAAGAAUGUCCACAGGAGCUAAUACUUUUUAAGUUCUCACAACUGAAUCGUUAGCUCCGUUAGCAUCUCUUACACUUCAACUUCGUCGUCUAAAAACGACUUGACCUCGUUGUGACAGGAAGGGUAACAUAAGAACGGUGGUUGUGAAGGUGGUAACUAGAACUGGACUAGCCUCUCUUCUGUUUAAGGGUUCUGGCGUAACAACCGUGUGUGAAGAAGCGAGGUCGAGUAUAGUACGGAGAAGAACUCUAUCAGGUGUGGGGAGCGCGGAGAAACGUUCGUCAACAGUGGAACGACCUACACCCCUUCUUCUAGUUCUUCUGUGGUUAUCACCAGUCUUUGACAUGGCCGAAGCGCCAGUUGGCCUACAAGAAAGGCAUGUGAGUCCGUCGUGAUACCGAACAGCUAGUACCUUACCUACAAAUGUUCUAGCUAGUCCGAACAUGACUUAAGCCCUACGGUUAACCAGGUAAGUCUUACUGUCUAGACCAACCAAAACCUCAACGAGAUCGGUGUCCGUACGUCGUGGAACUUUUGAAGGGACUCGCCCAGAUGUUCAGUUACGACUAAAGAGAGUACUGACUCCUGUUUUCUUGUCCACUUCGGAGAGUUUUCCCCAAAAUGUCCAUACUAUCAUUCUCCUUCCGCUCGGGACUAGGACUUUAGUACUUGAUAGAGCUCCUCAGCUCCUCUUAACGUCCUCGGUGUGGACUAGGGCUCAACGAGUUCGAACUGUUGUCGCGCUAUCGUCUCUACCACAACAAGGGCCAAUAGUUGCUUCGGACGGCACAGGACCCCCUCCCGUAACGGAAGUUCCGGAGACUGGAGCUGUAGCGGAGGUAGAAGCCUUACCCAAAGGGCGGUAUGUCCCCACCGUAGUACGUGACCCGCCUAAGGUAGCCGCGUUCCGCGUAAACGCGCUACGACAGCCUCACCCUCUGGUUAACACUUUACGUUGGUCCCCACCGUAGUACGUGACCCGCCUAAGGUAGCCGCGUUCCGCGUAAACGCGCUACGACAGCCUCACCCUCUACUUCAUACCGGUCAAGAAGUUUGGAACGUCGGUGGACAACCUCUCCCGCCGACUUCCAGAAGGAGACUCGCGUAACCGCUGCUUCUGCUACUUGUUGGUCCGGUUCCUGUUCGACAUCAAAGAAAAGGAGUAAGAUGGUAGUAAACAAAAAACGAAUCCAACUACGUCUUAUUCUUAUUGCACCGAAGUUUAGCGAAGUCUGACCCUUCGACGACUCAGUACCUUCCCCUCUCGGUCUUCUGACUUAUUUGUUCAUUGCUAAACUUUUCUUCAAAGAACAAUAAACCGGCUCCACUAAAGUGUUUUCAACUAGUACGUUUUACACAGACUUAUUCUCACUAGUUUCUACGCGGCGUGCUUGAGGUAAGCUUAACAUAGUUUAAAGCUAGUAACCUAUAUAGUACACGCUGACCUAAUAUAUCCCUCAAAUUUAGAACCACACACUUUCUCCACAAGUUCGUCCUACUAGAUCGUUCUCAAACUUGAAACAUGAGGACAAAACGUUCAUAAAUCACG
rnacentral:rRNA from 1 species